UUCCGGUUGAUCCUGCCGGACCCCACUGCUAUCGGGGUGGGACUAAGGCAUGCUAGUCUGUGUCUUCCAGCCAUGGAGAAGACACGGCGAACAGCUCCGUAACACGUAGCCAACCUGCCCUCAGGACGGAGAUAACCCCGGGAAACUGGGGCUAAUAUCCGAUAGGCGAGAAAGCCUGGAACGGUUUCUCGCCCAAACGGUGUAGAAACCAUGCUUUCUGCACUGCCUGAGGAUGGGGCUGCGGCCGAUCAGGUAGUUGGUGAGGUAACGGCUCACCAAGCCUAUAACCGGUACGGGCCGUGAGAGCGGGAGCCCGGAGAUGGGCACUGAGACAAGGGCCCAGGUCCUACGGGGCGCAGCAGCCGCGAAACCUCUGCAAUGCGCGUAAGCGCGACAGGGCUACCCCGAGUGCCGUCCGCUGAGGACGGCUUUUCUCCGGUGUAAUGAGCCGGAGGAAUAAGGGGAGGGCAAGUCUGGUGUCAGCCGCCGCGGUAAUACCAGCUCCCCGAGUGGUGGGGACGGUUAUUGGGCCUAAAGCGUCCGUAGCCGGUCUGGCAAGUCCUCCGUUAAAGCCAACGAUCCAAUCGUUGGAAUGCGGGGGAUACUGUCAGACUAGGGGGCGGGAGAGGCCGACGGUACUUCUGGGGUAGGGGUGAAAUCCUAUAAUCCCAGGAGGACCACCAGUGGCGAAGGCGGUCGGCUAGAACGCGCCCGACGGUGAGGGACGAAAGCUGGGGGAGCGAUCCGGAUUAGAUACCCGGGUAGUCCCAGCUGUAACGAUGCAGGCUAGGUGUUAGCGU
rnacentral:rRNA from 1 species